rnacentral:rRNA from 1 species
AUGCRGUCGAGCGAAUGGAUUGAGAGCUUGCUCUCAAGAAGUUAGCGGCGGACGGGUGAGUAACACGUGGGUAACCUGCCCAUAAGACUGGGAUAACUCCGGGAAACCGGGGCUAAUACCGGAUAAUAUUUUGAACUGCAUGGUUCGAAAUUGAAAGGCGGCUUCGGCUGUCACUUAUGGAUGGACCCGCGUCGCAUUAGCUAGUUGGUGAGGUAACGGCUCACCAAGGCAACGAUGCGUAGCCGACCUGAGAGGGKGNNNNANNNNNACUGGGACUGAGACACGGCCCAGACUCCUACGGGAGGCAGCAGUAGGGAAUCUUCCGCAAUGGACGAAAGUCUGACGGAGCAACGCCGCGUGAGUGAUGAAGGCUUUCGGGUCGUAAAACUCUGUUGUUAGGGAAGAACAAGUGCUAGUUGAAUAAGCUGGCACCUUGACGGUACCUAACCAGAAAGCCACGGCUAACUACGUGCCAGCAGCCGCGGUAAUACGUAGGUGGCAAGCGUUAUCCGGAAUUAUUGGGCGUAAAGCGCGCGCAGGUGGUUUCUUAAGUCUGAUGUGAAAGCCCACGGCUCAACCGUGGAGGGUCAUUGGAAACUGGGAGACUUGAGUGCAGAAGAGGAAAGUGGAAUUCCAUGUGUAGCGGUGAAAUGCGUAGAGAUAUGGAGGAACACCAGUGGCGAAGGCGACUUUCUGGUCUGUWACUGACACUGAGGCGCGAAAGCGKGGGGAGCAAACAGGAUUARAUACCCUGGUAGYCCMCSCCGUAAACGAUGAGUGSUAAGKGUUAGAGGGUUUCCGCCCUUUAGUGCUGAAGUUAACGCAUUAAGCMCUCC